GGAGGGGGCCAGCGUUGUUCGGAAUUAUUGGGCGUAAAGGGCGCGUAGGCGGUCGGGUAAGUCUGACGUGAAAUCCCUUGGCUCAACCAAGGAACUGCGUCCUAAACUGCCCGGCUUGAGUCCGGGAGAGGGUAGUGGAAUUCCCAGUGUAGCGGUGAAAUGCGUAGAUAUUGGGAGGAACACCGGUGGCGAAGGCGGCUACCUGGACCGGUACUGACGCUGAGGCGCGAAAGCUAGGGUAGCAAACAGGAUUAGAUACCCUGGUAGUCCUAGCUGUAAACGAUGGGCACUUGGUGUAGCGGGUAUCGACCCCUGCUGUGCCGAAGCUAACGCACUAAGUGCCCCGCCUGGGGAGUACGGUUGCAAGGCUG
rnacentral:rRNA from 1 species